rnacentral:rRNA from 1 species
UACGAAGGGGCUAGCGUUGCUCGGAAUUACUGGGCGUAAAGCGCACGUAGGCGGAUUGUUAAGUCGGGGUGAAUCCUGGAGCUCAACUCCAGAACUGCCUUCGAUACUGGCGAUCUCGAGUUCGGGAGAGGUGAGUGGAACUGCGAGUGUAGAGGUGAAAUUCGUAGAUAUUCGCAAGAACACCAGUGGCGAAGGCGGCUCACUGGCCCGAUACUGACGCUGAGGUGCGAAAGCGUGGGGAGCAAACAGG